ACAGCGUAUCAUUAUACGUUGUGUUUAGGAUUAGGGCUCGCGGUGUCUCCGACUUCUCCAUCGCGUGAUCUUCCAUCUUCUUCAUCCAGUGCGAGAUGAAGCAGUAACCGAUUCCCCCUCAUAAAGCCUUCAUAAUCAUUCACACACGAUCUCCAUUGAAUGUGACCCUGUAGAGUGCAAGGCGGUGGAGGCUCUGCUAUAAAAAGACUGGUCGCUCUUCUUUCUUCAAUCUCUCAAGCGAGGAGUUUCACACCAUGGCGAGUUGAUGGGUGUUGACAUGUUCCUCCUUGAUGCAAAGUUUUAACAGAGAAUAAAACUGAGAAUGAAGUAUCUAAAUCACCGUGGAACAUGAGUCAUCACCGCCAGGAAGUACGUUCAGAGCAUGAUUAAGUGUCGUUGCUAACUGAAGAUCCAGAACAUCAGUAAGUCUCUUACUUAUAGGGCCAUAGAUGAAUGUGUUUGGUCUCUCUUGAUUCCGGCGACAUUGACUGUCUAUUAGUACUUUUCGGGUGGGCUUUGCUAUUACGGCGUAACUGAUAUUUUUUUUUAGGUAAUCUACGGUUCCGUAAUCGCUCUCUGCCUAUACAAUGUUCAUAAGCCUCUGGUCUUUUCACACCUUGGUUUUUUUAAUUCUUAUCUCUAUGAAAGAUUAAGGUACGAUCUUCUCUUAUGUUUAGAUCAUGACCUGGAAUACUGAAAUUUGCGGUGUUUCACGAGUUUCUACAUUUGGAUGCUCAAGUGUGUGAUGAUUAUAUCCUAUAUUGUCUUCCAGAAAUUCAGAGGGCGCCAAUCUCGCAUAAACCAUGAGAGUGGCAGUGUUGUCAUCUUAGAAAUUCAGAAAUUUUUGUAUGGAUAAUCACUUGCAUAAUCCAAUCGUGCAUGUCGUUUUUGAUGGUACUUAACAUUAGUGAAAUAAGCUUCAAGGGAGGGCAUUGUUGCAGAAAACCAAACUGAUGUGUCUCUCUUUGAAUAUAAUUUGUUUUGAAGGAUAUCACAGCUGCUGAUGUGGCGCCUACUCUUCCAAUAAGGCUUGGUCUCGCCCCCAAUUUCUCUGUGUUGAUAUUUGAUCCGCCUUUAGGCAUUUGAAGAAGCCAUUGUUGAGCUUCACACACUGGGAGAAAAAUCAUACAAAGACCAUAACUCUAAGUAUGCAGUUGCUGGAGACAAUCUAAACCUCUGGACCUCUUCACAUCCCUUUUCCCGCACCUUGGUUCUGUACUCGACCUUCAAAGUCAUCUUUAAAGUUGUUUUCUACUUUCAGUUUUUCUUUCUCCAGCUCAGUGAGAUAAUUGAUGACUUUAUUAUGGUCCACUUGCAAACUUCUUGCACAUAUUUCUGCAUGCGGAUGGUAUCUUGAAUCGCUGGGUCUGCAGUCAGUGCAAACACUUUCAGAUUUGAGAUAAGUCAGAGAUCUUUCUUUCUCUUUUGCUCUUUGAUUUUUAUAAACUUUUGUUUGGUAUAGCACAUAAAAAUAUUACUGAUUAAUACAAUGGUAUCCUCUCUUCCAGGUGUUAUGAGGAUACAAAGAGUCAAGAAGACAUGAAAGACAUCCUUUUUAUUUUUAAGGAUACGAAUGCAUUAUAAACCGACGUCAAAAUAUAUAGAACAAAAGUUUGUAAUGCUCAGGUUGAAUUCUUACAAUAUAAUAAUUUUGCUAA